ensembl:lncRNA
GGGUUGGGCUGAGGGUAGUAGAGAAGGGGUUGGUGAGGGUACUAGAGAAGGGGUUGGUGAGGGACUGAGGGUAAUAGAGAAGGGGUUGGUGAGGGUACUAGAGAAGGGGUUGGUGAGGGUAGUAGAGAAGGGGUUGGUGAGGGUACUAGAGAAGGGGUUGGUGAGGGUACUAGAGAAGGGGUUGGUGAGGGUAGUAGAGAAGGGGGUUGGUGAGGGUAGUAGAGAAGGGGUUGGGAGGGUAGUAGAGAAGGGGUUGGUGAGGGUAGUAGAGAAGGGGUUGGUGAGGGUAGUAGAGAAGGGUUUGGUGAGGGUAGUAGAGAAGGGGUUGGUGAGG